ensembl:snRNA
ACUAUCCUUAUCUUGGGGUUGCGCUACUGUUCAAUGAACGUCUAGUGAGGACAGUACUGCUAACACCUACACAACACUUUGGCAUCCUUGGGGCUUGUUCCCCACAUGAGGUGCAAUUUUUGGAACC